CAGCCACAGUUGCCUCGACAGUGGUUUGGAGGACGACAGGGAAGAAGAGGAAGAGGAGAGGAAAGGCGCGCGUCAGUCCGCUGUGCGCCAUCACUCCUCUUCGCGCCAAUCACGCUUGCUACCUCCCGUCUGCAUGGCACAGAAUCGCCAGAAUUCGCGGCCCUGCCGUGAAUCAGCCGAGCUGAACCGUUUCACGGAAACAAGAGGAAAAACGGAGGCCGAACACAAUGGAAUCGAAGGCCAGCCUCCCACCACAUUAUGAGUGCCUUGGUGUAGACCCAUCCAUCAACUCCGUGGACUUGGCGCGGCAAUACAAGAAGCUGUCGCUGCAACUGCAUCCAGACCGGGCAGCUUAUCGCGACGACGCCGCCAACGAAGUGCACGUGCAGGAACGCUAUCAGCGCAUCACGGAGGCCUACGCGGUUCUGUCGGACCCAGAGAAGCGUAGAGCGUACGACGCGAAGCACGGUGUCAACUUUCAAUCGCGUCUGGCGCGCUUGCAGGCCGUCAUUGGUCAGCACAACACCAUGGCGAUGCAGCGCAGCGCGAUGGGCCGUAAGACGACCGAUUCGGCCUCCACAUCCUCCCCCACAACUGAUGAGCAUGGCGCGCAGCACCUGCAUGCUGCACCGCACAAGGAUUCUGCAGAGCGCACGAUUGGCGAUGACGACGAAGAAGACUAUGACCCCAACGACGUCCUCGCCCCGCCACGUGGUGCGCUGCAUCAAGCCGGCUCAAGUGGUUUUUAUAGCGGCGAUAGCUGUGAUGCAGAUGGAGAUGGCGACUACAUCGCCCGUCUGUUCAGCCUAAAUCUGCGCGUCGGUGCUGAGGCGGCGCCAAAGACACGAAACGGGGUGCCCGUGGCGCAGUACCAGGCUAUCACGCUUACCCGCGCGCUCAGCUCACCAGCAUCGCCCUACGCAAGCACGUGGGGUCUCGUCUUUGAAAAGAACGAACUCGUGGGCCUUGAUGGCGAAUACCUGGAGGAGCUGGAGCGCAUAGCCGGCCUCGCUGCCGUCCCGUUCCCGUCUUCGGUGCAGCAGAUCAACGACACAAUGGUGCUACCGACGACAGACGUGCCGCGGCUUCUAUCUCGCCUCUACGAGGCAGAGUCCACACGGAGCUCAGCGGUGAGCCCCGUCACGGGCCAAACUGCGUCGACCAAUAAGGACGCACGUUCAGGCCAGAGUAAAAAAGUGUGUGAGGUGUGUGUGGAGGCCCCGACCGACUCUUCACUGUCCUCCCCGACAGAACACCUCCACAUGGUCUUGGCCUAUAGCACCGUGACGUACGAUCUCGUUGGUGAGGUACACCUGCUGGGCGAUGAUGACGUGAUCAGUCGUUUGGUGCCGUCUUGGUGCGUUGCCCCACAACUGAGCCUGCUCAUGCCGGAUGCAACAGUCCUGUCUGUAAACAACACGCACGUCCGCUCCGCCGCGGAGUUGCGCGCGGCUCUGCGUGCGGCGGUGCUCGAUGGAGAGGACGAGGACGUCAUGCAGGCGGUGAAGCGAGCUCGUAAAUCGCGCGCUGUUGUUGUUGAGUUUUGCCAGCUUCCGUUUCUUUGCUCAUGUUCGUCGCUUGAGAAUGUGUCCCUGUCCCUCCCUCCCACAACCAGCACCAGGCCUAGACUUGGCGUCUGAAACACCGCGACUCUCGCACGCCUCCCUUCUCUUCUGACGCGCGCACACACGCACACAAAUGCGCGCGAAAAAAAAAAAAACAGCGAAAGCAAAAGAAGGAGUUCACGUUCUACGCACACCGCCUGCAUCCCCUCCCCCGCACCUCCUCCCCCUCCUCUGCAUGUCGCCUGCCCUCGUGGCGGGGAUUGCGCGGGGAACGGCAUUGAAAGCGUUCUCUGGCUGUUGUUUUCU
rnacentral:misc_RNA from 1 species